rnacentral:rRNA from 1 species
GACGAACGCUGGCGGCGUGCUUAACACAUGCCAGUCGAACGGAAAGGCCCUGCUUUUGUGGGGUGCUCGAGUGGCGAACGGGUGAGUAACACGUGAGUAACCUGCCCUUGACUUUGGGAUAACUUCAGGAAACUGGGGCUAAUACCGGAUAGGAGCUCCUGCUGCAUGGUGGGGGUUGGAAAGUUUCGGCGGUUGGGGAUGGACUCGCGGCUUAUCAGCUUGUUGGUGGGGUAGUGGCUUACCAAGGCUUUGACGGGUAGCCGGCCUGAGAGGGUGACCGGCCACAUUGGGACUGAGAUACGGCCCAGACUCCUACGGGAGGCAGCAGUGGGGAAUAUUGCACAAUGGGCGGAAGCCUGAUGCAGCAACGCCGCGUGCGGGAUGACGGCCUUCGGGUUGUAAACCGCUUUCGCCUGUGACGAAGCGUGAGUGACGGUGAUGGGUAAAGAAGCACCGGCUAACUACGUG